CGCUCGUUGGUCUAGGGGUAUGAUUUUCGCUUUGGGUGCGGGAGGUCCCGGGUUCAAAUCCCGGACGAGCCC